UACGUAGGUGACAAGCGUUGUCCGGAUUUAUUGGGCGUAAAGAGCUCGUAGGCGGCUUGUCGCGUCGACCGUGAAAACUUGGGGCUCAACCCCAAGCCUGCGGUCGAUACGGGCAGGCUAGAGUUCGGUAGGGGAGACUGGAAUUCCUGGUGUAGCGGUGAAAUGCGCAGAUAUCAGGAGGAACACCGGUGGCGAAGGCGGGUCUCUGGGCAGUAACUGACGCUGAGGAGCGAAAGCGUGGGGAGCGAACAGG
rnacentral:rRNA from 1 species